GUAGGUAACCUGCCUUGUAGCGGGGGAGUAACUAUUGGAAACGAUAGCUAAUACCGCAUAACAAUGGAUGACACAUGUCAUUUAUUUGAAAGGGGCAAUUGCUCCACUACAAGAUGGACCUGCGUUGUAUUAGCUAGUAGGUGAGGUAAUGGCUCACCUAGGCGACGAUACAUAGCCGACCUGAGAGGGUGAUCGGCCACACUGGGACUGAGACACGGCCCAGACUCCUACGGGAGGCAGCAUG
rnacentral:rRNA from 1 species